rnacentral:rRNA from 1 species
UACGUAGGAGGCGAGCGUUGUCCGGAGUUACUGGGCGUAAAGGCACGCAGGCGGUCAUGUAAGUCUGUUCUGACAGCUCCUGGCUCAACCGGGAGAGGCGAACGGAAACUGUAUGACUUGAGGACUUCAGAGGGACACGGAAUUCCGGGUGGAGUGGUGAAAUGCGUAGAGACUCCGGAGGAACACCAAAGGCGAAGGCAGUGUCCUGGGAAGUACCUGGACGCUCAGGUGCGAAAAGCCAGGGGAGCGACGGG